rnacentral:rRNA from 1 species
UGAUGUCACACUGCCAAGAAAAGCUUCUAGUGAGAAAACAAUGGCCCGUACCGCAAACCGACACAGGUAGUCGAGGAGAGCAUCCUAAGGUGAGCGAGAGAACUCUCGUUAAGGAACUCGGCAAAAUGACCCCGUAACUUCGGGAGAAGGGGUGCUGCUCUAACGAGCAGCCGCAGUGAAUAGGCCCAAGCGACUGUUUAUCAAAAACACAGGUC